CCUACGGUUGGCAGCAGUGAGGAAUAUUGGUCAAUGGACGAGAGUCUGAACCAGCCAAGUAGCGUGAAGGAUGACUGCCCUAUGGGUUGUAAACUUCUUUUAUAUGGGAAUAAAAUGUUCCACGUGUGGGAUUUGGUCUGUACCAUAUGAAUAAGGAUCGGCUAAAGCCGUGCCAGCAGCCGCGGUAAUACGGAGGAUCCGAGCGUUAUCCGGAUUUAUUGGGUUUAAAGGGAGCGUAGGUGGAUUUGUAAGUCAGAUGUGAAAGUUUGCGGCUUAACCGUAAAAUUGCAGUUGAAACUGGCAGUCUUGAGUACGGGAGAGGUAGGCGGAAUUCGUGGUGUAGCGGUGAAAUGCUUAGAUAUCACGAAGAACUCCGAUUGCGAAGGCAGCUCACUGGACUGCAACUGACACUGAGGCUCGAAAGUGUGGGUAUCAAACAGGAUUAGAUACCCUGGUAGUC
rnacentral:rRNA from 1 species